GCAAUCCAGUCUGCUGUUGAUCUUGUAGAUGGUUAUGAUGGACAAACGAAUCAGGAUCUGAUCACUUUUAGUGGAAUUGAAUAAAGUUAAAUGUUGGGUUUUGAUUGUGAGACAAGUCUUGAGCUAUCGGAUGCUAUUAAAGAAGUAAAAGCAGUAAAAUCUCGGUCUCUGGUUAAAGCAUGGAGUUGUGUGUCAAGAAUUGCAAUGUCAGUGGGUUUCCAAAUUUGAUGACGUUUGUGCUCUUCACUUCUCUUCUUCUUCACUUCUUGCUGAAAUGUCUUCCCGAGUAAGCAAUAAGGAAUUUCAGGAACUAUUUUGUCAUAGCAGAAACUGAAAAGGUCCACACAUUUCUGAAUCCUGAGAAAGACAGCCUGUCUUACUCAUAGGAAUCUGUGUCUGUGUUCUGUGGUGUUCUGAAGAAACUGCUCCUUCUCACCUCUCCAAUGAAAGAUAUUUCAUUUAGCCUGCAUCAGCUCUACAAUUGGCAGACCAGUUAAUUGUCU